UUUUUUUUAAUAAAUAAAAACUAAUUUUUGGAACUUAAUUUUGUUUGAAAAUAUUUAAAGAAGGUAAAUAAAUAAUAAAUAAUAAUUUAUAAUUUAUUGUAUUAUAUGAUAAAAAACAUACUUUGAAAAUAUACUCGUAGGUACAAGAAAUAACUCUUGUGUUCUUCAAAUAAAGAAUGUUUUAGGUAUAAUACUAUUUAGUUGGAGAUAUUUAGAUAGAACCUUGUGUUACUGUACCUCUAAAGAUUAGAAUAUUUUGAAUUAAUCCUGAAUAUAGUUGAUAAAUCUCAAAAUGUAUUUAUGCAUUGCAGAAACGAUGAUAGCUGUAAGUGCAAUCAUUCUUACAGAACAUCGUUCUAGAACAAUAACGGAAAAUACCAAAUACUUAGCUACAUCAUUCAAAUCCUCUUUCGUUCUCUUGACCAUUACUAGAAUCACCGCAGCUGCAUACGCUCCAACAAUUUUAUAAAGGCCACUUGUUAAAAGCAUUCAAUAUUGUCGUGCAUAAUUCAAGUUACCAAUGAAGUAACCGAAUUUUCCUUGUUUUGUAAUUUUUUUAUGUGCUUAAGAAUUUAAGAUAAUAACCAAUUCGUAUACCUAUAAGAAAUUAAGAAAUUCAAAAGUAUAAUGAAUAAGCUAUUAGUAUAAUAUGAAUCACCUAUAUGGACACAAAUAUUUUUUAAUACCUACAAGUGAAUCAAGGAUAACAUUUCAAAAUACAGACGACGAAUAUUCGAGGAACAAAGAUCUCGAACAAAAAGAAAAGUCAAAUCAACCCAAAGAUAUGCUUGCCACAAGAAUGUUCAGCGUGUUUAAAAACUCAUCAUCAAUAAGUCCAUUUAAAAGUAUAUUAUAUGUAUGUGUAAGAACAGCGGCACAAAAAUUAGAUUUCGUAAAAAAAAAAAAUCUUCGUGAUAAUUAACAGUAGUACACAUAAUAAUGUGUGUCAUAAAAUUUUAACAAAACUUUUACAUGACGCGUAGUGAUUUCAUUCACUUCAAUCGAGAAGAAAAAAAAUCUGCGGAUCUAGAACAUUGCAUAUUUUAAUAUUAUAGAACCGCGCACGGAGCAGAGAUUGCGAGACAAGAAUCUUACGGCGGCGGCGGCGGCGACGUUUGAUUGCAGUAUACAACAAUAAUAAUAACAAUCAUAAUAUUAUAUAUAAAUUAUAAUAUACCGACUUGUGCAGGUCGCCGACAGCAUCCUCUGCGACGAGAUAAUAACAAACGACAAUAUUAUUUCUCCGACAAUUAUACCUAUAGCAGCGCGUGGUUUACUCCACCGGGCCGAAAUCGGUAGUAUACCGGCAAUAUCAUUGCGUGCCGCCAUCUGGGUGAUACAUAGUGAGCAGAACGAUCGAGGACACCGCCAUCUCCCGAAAUCAGGACACUCGUUAAGAAACCAAUGCUGCUAAUAAACGUAGAACUUUAAACUAUUACAAUUAGUUACAACAUUAUUGUUAUAUUAUUUAUUAUGACGAAUUAUCGACAGUAAAUAAAAAUGAAUAACCGUCCAAAUCAUGGCUAGACAGCUUAGGUACCAAGAUGGCAAAUGAAUUUGAAAAUAUUAUUAAUUAUUAAGCAUGUUAUUUAAUUUAAAUAUAUCCAUACGUAUUAUACUUGA